rnacentral:lncRNA from 1 species
GGAUGAAUUCCUUUCUAAUUGCAUUUGGUGUUAGGCAACUUUAUGAUUACUUUGUUCCUUGUAGGUACUGUAAUUGAUACUUGCUAUCUCAUUUUGAGACUGGAUUGAGAUGGCGUAGACAACAAUAGAGGGCUCGCAGUUGACGUACGACGCCUCCUGGCUGCCAUGUUGGAAGACCACCGCAUUUUUUCUUCUGACAACAACAGCCGAGUGGCUUCCCCAAACUAAAUGAUAACAGUGCCUAAAACUAGUUGAUUCAUUACCACGGUAAUUUUCUGUAGAGUAUUUGGCUGCUCUAACAAGGCAGGAAAGACAACGGGGAAAAAUAUGUUUAAAGAUUCCCCGCAAUCAUGAAACACCAUUGGUGACACCAGUGAGAUAAGACUCAAAAACUGUCAGAAAAGCGAAGAAACCGUUUUGCUUGUAAAGGCCUGAUCACAGACAGCUGUCAGUAACUGGUCUGCUACGAUCAUUUCAUCACUGGUUCCCCAGCUGACCUCUAUUAUUAAGACACCCAUGCUGACUGGAAUCCCACUGUGAAGAUGAGAAAUGCUGCAGAAGCAUCCGUUUCUACUUCUACUACUUUGUCCUUUUCCAAAUAUGAAAGGAGACUCCCUCAAUUAUACAAGACGGUUGUUAUAUGUGCUUUGGUCAAUCUGAAUGAUUCUGUUGUGCCAUUUGAGUAGAGCACCUUCACCUUGUCAUGACAAAAGUGCCCCCUUAAACUGUAUGAAUAUAUCAAAUGUAAUUUGGAAUGUGUAAAGUACUGUUUAUGAUAUUGUAAACAUACUGUACUUUAAAAAUAGGCUACAUUGUUGUAUGGGUGAAUUGAAAAUAGUAAUAUUUGCUUUGCCUAGUCCCAUUGAAUAGAAAGUAUUUCUUAUAGCCCAACUAUUUUAUUUCUUAACAAUUUAAACACAUUUUGCAUAGACAAUGUAAUUGUUGUGGUAGUCUUAGUCAAACCAUCUUCAUUAUCACAGUGCCACUCAGACCUUCUUGGAGAAAAGUAUCUGGCAUUGGACUUGGUAGUAGUAGUUGUGUAUGUUUUAAGCUAAGGAUCCCAUCUCCUGCUUCCAGACAUUUCACCACCUAGAUUACAAGGGUUGAAUUUGAAACGAAAUAUGGAAUGUCAGCACAAGGCAUGUACAAAAUGUAGUAUAAUGAUUAGCUUUACAAACAUUGUCUCCUGGUAUCAUUUUUAAAUUGAGAACAUAUAGCUGAACAAUAUGUAAACAGUGUGUCUGAAGCGAUCCUAUGCUUCAGAUGCAUAAUGUCAAGGGGUGCAUUGCAAAUGCCCAAAAGGCAAAGGCCAUUAUACUGUGGGCAAGUGGUUCCCUACUCCGGUCCUUGAGUAUCCCCAACAGUACAGCUUUAGUGUAGCCCCGGACAAACACACUUGUCAACUAAUUAUCAGGCCCUCAAAUGAGUUGAAUCAGGUAUGUUUGUCUGGGGCUACAACAACAAUUUGUGCUGUUGGGGGUAUUCAAGGACUGGGGUUGGGAACCACUGCUGUAGGCCUAUGGCUGCACUGGCAUUGUAUGACAUUAUCAGCUGCAAAAUGGGUUCACAUGGUUGAUAUCCUGAAAAAAAUAGCAAGAAUCAAAUAAAACUAAUUGGAGAGCUUAUGACUGAACAAAAAGGUAAUGUUCAUUUGAGAAAACAGACAAAUUUGAGACAGAUUCCCUUCCCCUCUUUAUUGCAGGAAUGUGAUCUGUGAUUAAUCAACAUCAACACUAGUUAAUCUUGAAUAAUAGUUAACAAUUAAAACAAGUUUAAAUACAACUUCAAAGAAUCAACAAUUUCAUAUAAUUUCAAUGUGUAUAAGUAAGCUAACACAUAUGUAAAGGUUAGACAUUUUAGUAACAAGUAGGCUAUUAUUACCAAAACAAUUUCCGGUGAACCAAAAAAAGCCAAUAGCAGUGGUGGCCAACCUUGAGCCACUGAUCCCUGAUCUACUGGGUGAGCAGACUAGGCAGACUAGGCUUAACUAAUUAGGCUUGAUAUAUUGAAUCAGGUGUUUUAGUGCUGGGCUAAAACAGAAGCGUGCACACCCAGCAGGGUUGGUCUGCUCCAGUUGUAAUAGGUUUACACAUUGUGUGACUUUUAAAAGUGUAUACCCUUACUCUCCAGGGACAUUCACUGAGACCUCUUCAUCUGCAGACAGGCUCUCUGUAUCUGAAGACAGAAAACAUCACUAGGAAACAGGCUGCAUUUUUUCCUUUCCAUUAUACUCAAGUUAGACAGCCCUUAAUAUUACGUUGCUAUAUCACUCUGUCCUCAGUUUCUCGCUAGGGACAGGAACUUCCCUAUCCCGAGUAGCCUACCCUCCCUUCUCUGACACCUGGAAGUGCUAGCUAAUCCAUUCACCCUCUUCCAUGGCUGUUAGCUAGCUAACGUUACCUACCUAGCUACAAAUGCAUUUGGUGUUACAACGAUAAAUAAAGUACAUCAAGAUAGCUAAUAUGAAGUUAGCAAGCUGGUGAUAUGUAAAGGUAACUAACUAGCGACAUUUUUACUUACUUGAAUAGCUUCUCCCACUGCCUGUUUUAUGGGUCCUUAGAAAACUAAAUAAUGAUUGUAGCAAAAGGCAGCGGUUGGCAUCCAAUUUGUUGCAUUACUGCCACCUACUAGACCUUAUACUUUACUUAAAAUAGAAAAAUGUACUAAAUAAAUACCCUACCAUCUAACACUAUAUUCACUAAUUUCAAAAUGAUAUAAAAUAAAAUGAACACCUCCCAACCCCACUAAUUAAAUGUAUUUAUUCCUACCUCAUGCCAUCACCCUAAAAUGAUGGGACAUCACCACAUCCUGUAACUCUCCUGCUGUCAAGUCCUGCACACCCAAAUGCCUCUGCACCACAACCUACAUUUUCUGAGACUUCUGAUCUAUUCCUGCAGUACAAUUAAUAACCAUUGCUAUAAAUCCAAUCUUACUGAAACUUAUUUCACUUUUUGGCCUAUCCCUCUGUACUGGUAUAUCUCUACUACUCUCACCCCCUUAACCCAUCUUCCUCUACUUUCUCCACUGCCUCAGCAUAUGACUUCUGCUCUACUCCAGAAACCUCAACCUGAACCUGCUUCUCUAGCACGGGACAUUUCUGAUCCCCAGCCCCAUGGGCACCCCUACAAUUAACACAUACCACUACUUUCCCCAAUACUACACAUUCCUUUGUCUCGUGCCCUUCUGCACAUUUCUCACACCUUGGACCCUCCCUCCUACACACUGCUGCCACAUGCCCAUAAGCUUGACACCUGUAACAUUUUAACAUAUUCGGCACAUACGCUCGUACAGGAUAACUUAUAUAUCCUAACUUCACGUUAUCAGGCAGACUCAGCUUCAAAACUCAAAACAGACUGACUCUUCUGUUUCCCCACCCUGUCUGCGUCACAUCAAACGCCGAGCAUCACUUACACCGGGAGUCUUUCCCCUAAGCUAGUCAACGUUUAUAUCUACUGCUACCCCAGUUAUAUCUCCUUUCAUUGGUGCCUUUUUCUUGAGAACGAAACAAUUCAUUUUACUUACCCCCAUUCGUUUUACUUCAAGCGUAUUCUUCCUCUGCCCAACAGAAACACAAACAAUUAUCACUAGACCAUUUCUAGUUACCCUCACCGAUUCCACAUGACCCAACACUUUUUUUUUUCCACCCACCGUGAAACCACAAAUGGAUCAGCCAAAAGGCAAGAGUUCACUUUCUCCAUAAACUUCACUCCUACUGUCACAGAUUCUUCUUCAUCCUGAUCCUCGGUGCAUACAUCGAUCUCCGAUGACUUUAUCGCACCUACCACCUCCGAUACUUCGCCCUCAUUCACUUCCAUUUCUCCUCCUGUCUUCUAUACGGCGUACAGCUCACUCUGCUUACACUUUCUACCAUUCUUCUUUAACAAACAAACCAUCUUUUUUUCCCGUCCACCAUUUCUAACCGACUCAAACACCCUUUUCCUCCUUCUCUCUCCUAGACCUCAUCUUCCUCUCUUUUUCCCUCUAAUCCUCCCCCGUAUUUCAAGUAUACCUUUCCUUGUGAUAAUACUGCACUUUUCAUCCUGACAUACAUCUUGUUCUUGUCCUCUCAAGGGAUGCCAUUUAACUGGCUCUUCCAACCACCAUCUACUGUUUCCCUCCCGAAAAGUCUGAUGUUAUUUUGUGAUGUAGCUAUACAUGGACGUGUUCGAGAGGAUCAAAACCACAAUGUAUCACGGGUAAAUUGUGACUGACUGACUGAUCUACAAAUAACAAUUGACCUGAGCCCUAGGACCAUGCCUCAGGACUACCUGGUAUGAUGACUCCUUGCUGUCCCCAGUCCACCUGGCCGUGCUGCUGCUCCAGUUUCAACUGUUCUGCCUGCGGCUAUGGAACCCUGACCUGUUCACCGGACGUGCUUGUUGCACCCUCGACAACUACUAUGAUUAUCAU